rnacentral:rRNA from 1 species
CCUGGCCUUGAAUAUGACCCUGAACUUGCCCAACCAUCUGAACUUGGAAGUUAAGCAGAGUAAGAUUGGGUUAGCACUUGGAUGGUGAAGACCUGGGAAGACUGGUUGUUGUCAGAG